GUCCUGGUAGCACAGCGGUUAAGCACUCAGCUGCUAACCGAAAGGUUGGUGGUUAGAACCCACCCAGGGGUU
rnacentral:tRNA from 1 species